rnacentral:rRNA from 1 species
UAGGGAAUCCUCCACAAUGGACGCAAGUCUGAUGGAGCAACGCCGCGUGAGUGAAGAAGGUUUUCGGACCGUAAAGCUCUGUUGUUGGUGAAGAAGGAUAGAGGUAGUAACUGGCCUUUAUUUGACGGUAAUCAACCAGAAAGUCACGGCUAACUACGUGCCAGCAGCCGCGGUAAUACGUAGGUGGCAAGCGUUGUCCGGAUUUAUUGGGCGUAAAGCGAGCGCAGGCGGAAGAAUAAGUCUGAUGUGAAAGCCCUCGGCUUAACCGAGGAAUUGCAUCGGAAACUGUUUUCUUGAGUGCAGAAGAGGAGAGUAGAACUCCAUGUGUAGCGGUGGAAUGCGUAGAUAUAUGGAAGAAUACCAGUGGCGAAGGCGGCUCUCUGGUCUGCAACUGACGCUGAGGCUCGAAAGCAUGGUAGCGAACAGGAUUAGAUACCCUGGUAGUCCAUGCCGUAAACGAUGAGUGCUAAGUGUUGGGAGGCUUCCGCCUCUCAGUGCUGCAGCUAACGCAUUAAGCACUCCGCCUGGGGGAGUACGACCGCAAGGUUGA